rnacentral:rRNA from 1 species
UACGAGGGGGGCGAGCGUUGUUCGGAAUUAUUGGGCGUAAAGGGCGCGUAGGCGGCGCGGAUAGUCGGCGGUGAAAGCCCGGAGCUCAACUCCGGGUCGGCCGUCGAUACUUCCGGGCUUGAGCACUGUAGAGGCAGAUGGAAUUCCGGGUGUAGCGGUGGAAUGCGUAGAGAUCCGGAAGAACACCGGUGGCGAAGGCGGUCUGCUGGGCAGUUGCUGACGCUGAUGCGCGACAGCGUGGGGAGCAAACAGG